CGGCGAGUGAAGCGGGAAGAGCUCAAGUUUAAAAUCGAUGUGCUUUAGUACGUCGAGUUGUAGUCUCGAGACAGGCUGUCUGUGGUGACGUCGGUACAAGUACCUUGGAAGAGGUUAUCAGAGAGGGUGACAAUCCCGUCGCUGACCGACAGUUCGCCACUUUCGACGUUUGUUCACAGAGUCGGAUUGCUUGGGAGUGCAGUCCUAAUUGGGUGGUAAAUUUCAUCUAAAGCUAAAUAUUGACGAGAGACCGAUAGCGAACAAGUACCGUGAGGGAAAGAUGAAAAGAACUUUGAAAAGAGAGUCAAAAAGUACUUGAACUUGUUAAGAGGGAAGAGUUGAAAACUAGUGUUACUUGUAGUUACUUUCCCGAUCUGACUGAAACGUGUGCGUAUUAAGUCGUUAAAGCUUGAUGCGUAUUUGAAUUAGUUGGAACGGUCCCUGUAAUUAUGAGUGGUCAGCAUCAUUUCGAAGUGUGGGAGAAAGCUAUGUGGAAGGUAGGGUUUCUUCGGAAACUUAUUAUAGACAUGUAGCCAUACCAUGCUUUGGAUUGAGGAUGUAUCGGCGCUCCGUUUUACGGAGUGACCACCUAUUGCCUCAUAUUCUUCGAGCGUUAGAAAACAAUGUUUUGUGAUGUUUGGAGGGUGUGACUGUGGUGGGGCGUCACUGCGCCGACGCGAUGC
rnacentral:rRNA from 1 species